CAUGACAACCCUCCAACUCCAAACACCCAUCAUGGAGCCGGCAGCGACAAGGCCACUCCCUGACCGAGCUCACAGAAGGUGGUGAUGUAGGCAAUGUCCAUGGCUGUCCCAGCAGCCCUCAUAGCCAUCAGGAAGCCAAGAGAAGGGUCAGACUUGUUUAACCUCCCUGGGAUGGGAGUAUUUGACUUGCCUAAGGCCAGAGAACCAGACAGGAGUGGAAAUGAGCCCUUCAGCCCAGGCUGCUCUCUGGACCCCGCUUCACAUCCAGCCUGGGAAGCCAUGACUUCCUCCAUCUCACCUUUUGGCAAGUGAGGCUGUGACGGACCUUGACCAAUGCAGUUGAGUGUAUCCUGGACGGGGAGGAGGGGUGAGCAGGGAUUAAGUGGAACGGUUGGGCUGCUCCAAGAACAUCCAUUUAUCAGCCCAGCAUCCCCUGCUCUUUUGGGCUUGUAAGCCUGGAUCAUUGGAUGAAAUGGAGCGAGGAGCCAGUCCAACAACUACAGGUCCCCGCAGGGGCUCGCGUUCUGACAACUUCAUUCCCCACGAUGUUAAAGGCCCAGGCCCCUGUCUCUUCAGAAUCCACCAGGAAAACGUAUUCCUUCCCGAGGCUGCUCCUUGCCAGACAAGCUGGGGGAGGCAGAAGCUGCCAGACUCAGCCUGGAGGAGGGAGCUGGAUUCCUGUCCCGGCACAAAGGAACAGCAAACCCCAGUCCUCUGCCUGUUUCACAAAACAUGACAAACGCACCAUCCUGGAGAGGCUGCCCAAGCCCGGGGCCAAAGGCUCCCCUGGCCAGCUUUGCUGAGCCCAGCCUCGCACGACUUUAGAGCAUCGAUCCGUCACACGGAGCGCUUUCUGGGUGUGCCCCCACGGCCUGACGCGCCCCACAAAGCCCGCACGCUUCGGCAUCCAAAGCGGUGACCCAGCGGACCGUCUUGAUAUUGUAUCAACCAUUCUUGCCGAGCCCCAGAAGGCCCGCUCGCUUCUGUGACGCCGGCGAAGGCUGGGGCCCGGCCUGGAACCGCGACAGAGAAAACAAAUCAGGCUCUUGGCUCUGGAGAGUACCUGGCCUCGCACCGUGCUGUGUCUCUGAGCCUGGGCCAUUCCAAACAUGAAUGGUCGGAGGAGUGGAGAACUCAGGGCAGGGGGGAUCCUGGGGGGGAGGGUCAGUGCUCCAUGAAGACAGGAGAGGCCACCACAAAGACCAGGAACACCAGGCAAGUCGGGCAAGACUGUCUAGAAGGGGGCAUCCCCCCCCCACUUAAUAAUAAAGGAAGGAAUCAUUUA